rnacentral:tRNA from 1 species
GGGGACUUAGCUCAGUGGUUUAGUGUGUCCUGGCUACGAAAACAAAAUACAAAAUAAUUAAAAAAUAAAAUAAAUAAUAAUAAUAAUAAACUAAAUAAAUAAAAAUAAAUAAAUAAUUAAUUAAUUAAAAAAGAAAACAAAAUAAUAAAACAAAAACAAAAUAAAACCAAAAAGACAUACCACCGGAUGGAACCUGCAGGACAGGGUUCUCUG